GUAGUCAUAUGCUUGUCUCAAAGAUUAAGCUAUGCACGUCUAAGUAUAAGCAAUUAUACAGCGAAACUGCGAAUGGCUCAUUAUAUAAGUUAUCGUUUAUUUGGUAGCAACUUACUACCUGGAUAACCGUGGUAAUUCUAGAGCUAAUACAUGCUAAAAACCCCGACUUCGGAACGGGUGUAUUUAUUAGAUUAAAAACCAAUGCCCUCCGGGGCUCCUUGGUGAUUCAUGAUAACUUGGCGAAUCGCAUGGCCUUGCGCCGGCGAUGUUUCAUUCAAAUUUCUUCCCUAUCAACUUUCGAUGUUCGGGUAUUGGCCAAACAUGGUUGCAACGGGUAACGGGGAAU
rnacentral:rRNA from 1 species